UGUAAUCUCAAGUGGAUUUUUACUACCUUUCCUUUCCUGAGCUGUCGUCUGAUCUCCACUCUGUCGAGGUGCCAUCCUGGGUUGGUGCCCCUGUUGUCGUGUCCUAUUCUGAUUUUCUCUAUAACCUCACCGACAUCCUCCAGCUGGGAAAGAGACAACACACAGUGUUUACAGAGCUGAAGCCGCAGUCUUAAAGGAUGUGUUUCUGCUGCGUGCACACUCCCUUCUGUCCGUACAAGACUAUGAACACAUCAGCGUCUGUUCCCGCUCCGAACACAUCGCUGGUGUAUAUCUUUAUCUCAUAAGGCACAACUGAGGAGAAGUUAAUUAGAUGAUGAUAAUCACCUGCUGUAGAAGGAAGUGGAGUUUACUGGAGCAAGCAUGAAGAUUGUAGUUAGGGUUGGGCUAUAGGACGGUAAAUAUCGUGCGAUGGUAGAAAUGUGUCCACCGGUAGAGAUUUGGCAAUACCGUUUCCACAGCAGUAGCUAUUCUCGCGUGAUUUUGCAAUCAUCAUGUAAUCUCAUGAUAUAAUCCAGCUGCCUGGCAAGGUAACGUGAUUUGGGCAGACAAGGAGGAGGAGAGGAGGAGAAUCAAGUAGAGCAGGAGGAAGCAUCCCAACUAACCCAAGAUGAGGAAAAACUCUGGUUACAUGAUUAACCAGACAUUUGCACAUUGUAGUUUAUUCUGACAGGGUUUUGUCUGCUUUUUCAAAUGAAAGAUGAGCAAAAAAGUGAUGUCUUUUUUUCUUUUGCUAUACUCUAAAAUAUAAAUUUGUGUGAUUUUUAUACCUGUUAACCUUAACACCUGUAACACUUGAAAUUAUUGUUCUCAGGAACCUUAAAGCUUCCAUUUUGAAGGAAGUUUAGUUUAACUGUUUUGAGUCUAAAAGAAAAUAUAAUGAAAUGUGAUAAAGUACAGUAUGGUUAUUUUAAAACUUUUAACUGAAUUUACAGAACAAUUACUGUACUGUGAUAUAUACCGUAAAGUGAUAUAAAAUGACAUAUAAAGUUAUAGAAGAUUUUGGCAAUAUUGCCCACCCCUUAUUGUAGUAGUUGUUGAGUGUGUACUGUAGAGCGUGACAUUGGUACAGUCUUUGACCUCACAGUAUAAUCUGCAAGGU